CCUACGGGAGGCAGCAGUAAGGAAUAUUGGUCAAUGGACGCAAGUCUGAACCAGCCAUGCCGCGUGAAGGAUUAAGGCCCUCUGGGUUGUAAACUUCUUUUAUAGGGGACGAAAAAAGGGCAUUCUUGCUCACUUGACGGUACCCUAGGAAUAAGCACCGGCUAACUCCGUGCCAGCAGCCGCGGUAAUACGGAGGGUGCAAGCGUUAUCCGGAUUUACUGGGUUUAAAGGGUGCGUAGGUGGGUUGGUAAGUCAGUGGUGAAAUCUUCGAGCUUAACUCGGAAACUGCCAUUGAUACUAUCAAUCUUGAAUCAUCUAGAGGUAAGCGGAAUAUGUCAUGUAGCGGUGAAAUGCUUAGAUAUGACAUAGAACACCAAUUGCGAAGGCAGCUUACUAUGGAUGUAUUGACACUGAGGCACGAAAGCGUGGGGGAUCAAACAGGAUUAGAUACCCUGGUAGUCCACGCCCUAAACCGAUGGAUACUCGACAUUUGUGAUAUACUAUAAGUGUCUGAGCGAAAGCAUUAAGUAUCCCACCUGGAAGUACGACCGCAAGUUGAAACUCAAAGGAAUUGACGG
rnacentral:rRNA from 1 species